rnacentral:rRNA from 1 species
UGGGGAAUAUUGGACAAUGGGCGAAAGCCUGAUCCAGCCAUGCCGCGUGUGUGAAGAAGGUCUUCGGAUUGUAAAGCACUUUAAGUUGGGAGGAAGGGCAGUAAGCGAAUACCUUGCUGUUUUGACGUUACCGACAGAAUAAGCACCGGCUAACUCUGUGCCAGCAGCCGCGGUAAUACAGAGGGUGCAAGCGUUAAUCGGAAUUACUGGGCGUAAAGCGCGCGUAGGUGGUUCGUUAAGUUGAAUGUGAAAGCCCCGGGCUCAACCUGGGAACUGCAUCCAGAACUGGCGAGCUAGAGUAGGGCAGAGGGUGGUGGAAUUUCCUGUGUAGGGGUGAAAUGCGUAGAUAUAGGAAGGAACACCAGUGGCGAAGGCGACCACCUGGGCUCAUACUGACACUGAGGUGCGAAAGCGUGGGGAGCAAACAGG